rnacentral:lncRNA from 1 species
AAAGAUCGGGUAGUGAGCUUAGAUAAGUAACUGGAAAAGCUUAAAUACCGAGAUCUAUAUAAUACGACAUAUUUUAACUCACCGUAUUUCUUUGUAGGUGUGGAGUCAGAAAUAUCAGAUGUCCAUAUUCAGAGAGGUGAGACAUUUGUUGGGGGAGGCUCAAAAACCAAUAUGAAUAGCACCACUUCUGCUUCUACCACACUGUUUGGGAAGGUAACAAUUAUCUCACUGUAUCGAACUGAUGAAUUUUGCCUAAAUAUAGAAAGGCAAAUAGCCUAAUGUUAAUGAGAAGUAGAAUGUUUUCCUAACAUUUGGGUAUAUUUGCUGCAUGAGGGAAUGGUAAGCAAAGGUGUUCCCAUUAAUAGGAACUAACUUCAUUGUGGUACAAACUUGCAGAAUUUCGGAACGUCAUCAUCAUCAAUCCGGCCGUGCACACGUUGUGGACUUUACGGACACAACAAGGCAUCUUGUCG